GGUGAGUUGGCAGAACGGCUAUUGCACCAGUCUUGAAAACUGGCAUCCGGAAGGAUUUCUGGGUUCGAAUCCCAGGCUCACCGCAA
rnacentral:tRNA from 1 species